rnacentral:lncRNA from 1 species
GCUUUGAGCUGCGCUCUCCGGGCCGGCGGUGCGCUCCUGUCAUUUUCCCUUGAGGCCACUGGGUGGCGCUGAAGGAGCCGGGAUUGCCAGUAAGACUGUUGCUUCCAACUCCUGUCACAGCGGUUUGGGGAAGAGCAGUCAGUCACACAGGUACCACACAGCUGGUUUGGGCAUCUCCAAGAUCACCUGCCAUGAGCCUUUUCAGCUCCUCAUCUCUUCUCAGCAGACCACAGUAUGCCUAGAUUGCAAUCUGCUCAUGUCCUCCUGCCCAGAAACUGACACAGAAGCUCCCGGACCAUUCUGCAUCAACUUUUACUUUUUUCUUCUUGAAACUGGCUUAAUCUUCUUGGUGAGCUUGAUUUGGAUCAAUACAUUUUGGAGAGCAAGAUUUGGAUCAAUAAAUUUUGGCAGUGCCUCUUUUGGGGAGCCGGAGUGACAAAGGAUCCAAGAGGAAGUC